rnacentral:rRNA from 1 species
UGGGGAAUAUUGGGCAAUGGGCGCAAGCCUGACCCAGCAACGCCGCGUGAGGGAAGAAGGCUUUCGGGUUGUAAACCUCUGUCCUUGGUGACGAAAAAAAUGACGGUAGCCAAGGAGGAAGCCCCGGCUAACUACGUGCCAGCAGCCGCGGUAAUACGUAGGGGGCGAGCGUUGUCCGGAAUUACUGGGCGUAAAGGGUGCGUAGGUGGCCUUUUAAGUUGGUGGUGAAAUACCCGGGCUUAACCUGGGGGGUGCAUCUAAUACUGGGAGGCUAGAGUGCAGGAGAGGAAAGCGGAAUUCCUAGUGUAGCGGUGAAAUGCGUAGAUAUUAGGAAGAACACCAGUGGCGAAGGCGGCUUUCUGGGCUGUAACUGACACUGAGGCACGAAAGCGUGGGGAGCAAACA